rnacentral:sRNA from 1 species
GCCAGGCACGGUGGUGCAUGCCUGUAAUCCCAGAGGCUUGGGAGGCUGAGACAGGUGGAUCACAAGUUCAAAGCCAGCCUCAGCAAUGGCGAGGUGCUAAGCAACUCAGUGGGACCCUGUCUCUA